rnacentral:rRNA from 1 species
ACUCCUACGGGAGGCAGCAGUGGGGAAUUUUGGACAAUGGGCGAAAGCCUGAUCCAGCAAUGCCGCGUGAGUGAAGAAGGCCUUCGGGUUGUAAAGCUCUUUGUCAGGGAAGAAACGGUGAGGGCUAAUAUCCCUUGCUAAUGACGGUACCUGAAGAAUAAGCACCGGCUAACUACGUGCCAGCAGCCGCGGUAAUACGUAGGGUGCAAGCGUUAAUCGGAAUUACUGGGCGUAAAGCGUGCGCAGGCGGUUUUGUUAAGUCUGAUGUGAAACUCCCCCGGGCUCAACCUGGGGAAUUGCAUUGGAGACUGCAAGGCUAGAAUCUGGCAGAGGGGGUAGAAUUCCACGUGUAGCAGUGAAAUGCGUAGAUAUGUGGAGGAACACCGAUGGCGAAGGCAGCCCCCUGGGUCAAGAUUGACGCUCAUGCACGAAAGCGUGGGAGCAAACAGGAUUAGAUACCCCUGGUAGACUGUCA